UACGUAGGGCGCAAGCGUUGUCCGAAAUUAUUGGGCGUAAAGAGCUCGUAGGCGGUUUGUCGCGUCUGCUGUGAAAACUCGAGGCUCAACCUCGGGCUUGCAGUGGGUACGGGCAGACUAGAGUGCGGUAGGGGUGACUGGAAUUCCUGGUGUAGCGGUGGAAUGCGCAGAUAUCAGGAGGAACACCGAUGGCGAAGGCAGGUCACUGGGCCGCAACUGACGCUGAGGAGCGAAAGCAUGGGGAGCGAACAGG
rnacentral:rRNA from 1 species